AAAGAACCACCGCGGGAGAGGUCGCCGGAGCCUCUUCGGUGGUGUCCUCUGAUGUGGCCGGCCGGGGCCACCCCCAGGGUCACUGCUUGCGGCGCCAGGGCCGGCUGGCCCAGUUGUCCGCGGUCAAUGCUGACUGGACCGAUCCCAGGAGCUGACGUGUGGGCCCACCCCUAUUUAACCAAAAACUAGUUGAGUUAAUUAAUUAAAUUAGUUAGAUUAAUUAAUUUAUCCGAAUUACACUACGACAGGUGGGCCCAGUAGUUAAUUAAUUAAAUUUUGGUUUAAAUUAACUUUGUUUAAACCCACUGUCUACGACAGGUGGGUAACGCUGGGAACGGUUUGUAUUGAAACCAGAGUUUCAGUCAGUUUUCAUACCGGGCUGCUUUUGGAUUGGAUGAAAUGGGCUAAGUCUCUAAAUCAGUUCAAUUUGGUCUGGGCUUUAACAAUUGUUGGACUGGGUUGGCCCGGUCUGGACUGGAACCAACUGGUCUCAGACCGUUUCGACCCGUAGUCUGAAAUCGGAUCGUGGACCAAAUCGACACACGCAGCCUGACCUAGCGAGGAGCGCCUCCACCGCCCGCCGCCCGCCGCCCACGGCCGCCAAACCGGGAUAUUUCGCCGCCGUCACCGCCCGACUGGAGCUUGGUCGCCCCGUGCCUGCCCUUGCUCCUGCUCGCCGUCUCCCUCGCGGCGUGCUGGGCCGGACGCGCCGACGACCACGGCGUGCACUCCGUGCUCUCUGUGCCGCUCCUCUCGGCGCUGCUCGGCGUGGCCGUCGCGCUCGUCUUCCUUGCCGGCUACCUGCGCCGCAAGCGCGCCGACAUCGCGCACGUGCCCCCCUCCGCGGCGGCCGCUGCCCCGGACCUGCCUAAGCAGGCCCGCCCCGCUGGCCAGAACAAGAAGGGCAGAGGGCACGCCCGCGUCCACCACCACCACGCCUCCGCCGCCGACAAGGUUUCAUCAUUCUUGUUCUCUUCAUACCAAGCCUUUCAUACUUUGAAGGUGUUGUGAUUUGGGACAGAAGGAAGGCAGGACAGGAGGUGUUUGAUUGGUGUGAUAGACAGGCUUGAAUCAUGUCUGGGAAUGUAUCAGACAGCUCAGGUAUUGGUGAAUCAGCUGAUGAGUUGUUGCAAACACCACAUAGUAGGCGAGCUAAAGUCUGGGAAUACUAUGAGCCAGAUUUGGUAGAGGUGCACAAUGUCCUGAAGGCUGUGUGUAAGUAUUGUUCCAUGAAAUUAGCAGGCAAGUCUGGGACGAAGAGCCUUAGAAACCACAUUGGCGAGUCUUGCCCCAAAAUCGAUGAUGAGUCCAGAAAUAGGUUUCUUGCAACAAUUAAGAAAAAACCAUCAGAUGUGGGGUUUGUUUUCGAUCCUCAGAGAAGCCGUCAGCUCAUGAUCAAAUAUUGCAUCCAUGCCGAGGUUGCAUUCAGGAAGUUUGACGAUCCUUACUUUGAAGAGUGGAUGGACUCGAUGCAGCCCACCUUUAAAGUCAUUCGGCGUCAGACUGUUCGCAACGACUGUGUGGACGCAUAUGAGCAAAUGAAGGAUCAGCUGCGCAUUGAGUUCCAGUCUCUUGAUUCCCGUGUUUGUUUGACCUCGGACAUGUGGACCUCUGUACAAGAACUAGGCUAUAUGUGUGUUACCGCUCACUACAUUGAUGGCAAUUUCAACCUGAAGAAGAAGGUCAUAUCCUUCAAAAAGUCAAGUAUCCGCACACAAGUGCGGCCAUUGAAGAGACUUUGGCAAGUGUUUGAAUGAAUGGGGCAUCAAAAGGAAAUUGUUUACUAUGACCUUGGACAAUGCAGCAAACAACAAACCAGCAGUUGACUCAUUUGUGCAACAUCAAGACCAUGGCAUGUUGUUUGGUGGUGUGGAUUUUCAUGUAAGGUGUUCGGCACACAUCCUUAAUAUCUUAGCUCAAGAUGGAGCAAGAUAUGUGCACAAGCCCAUAGAAAAAAUUCGUGAACUUUUAAGGCAUAUCGCUUCUUCGCCAUUAAGAAUUCAAUCCUUCAAUGUGAUUGCCACAAAUUUGGAUCUUCCUGAAAAGGCUGGUGGCAUAAAUCUUGAUAUUCCAAACCGUUGGAACUCUACAUAUCUAAUGAUUGAAGAAGCUCUGGAAUACAAGGGAGCCCUCAAUAAUUAUGCAAGUGGAAAUGGUGAAAUAGCACCGGACGAUGUGGAGUGGACUAAUGCUGAUGUAAUGUGCACAUUUCUAAAAGCUUUUGAAGAAGCGACAAAGUUAGUAUCAGCCGAUAGAACACUAACAACCCAUCUUUUUUUGCACAUGGUGUUGUGCAUCCGCGACGCGCUAAGGGACCCUCAGUGGAGCACUAGUGGCACUAUGUCAAACCUUGUCUAUGCUAUGGGCCAAAAGUUUGAUAAAUACUGGAAAGAGUCAAAACUGAAUGUUGCAGUUGUCAUCGCAACGGUGUGAGAUCCAACCAAGAAAUCUGACUUCUUGGAAUUCUUCUUUGAAAAGUAUUGUGAAAAUGUGGAUGAUAUUGAGAAGUGUCUAGAAGGUGUAAAAGACAUGAUGAGGUCGUACUAUGAGAAAUACGAGGAAGCCAGAAGAACCACCGAGCACUCGGUAUCUCAGCAAGUCAGCGCCAAUAUAGGAUCACCAGUUCUUGGCAAAAGGAGACUGGAAGAAGAGUUUGCUCAAUACAAGUCAAGAAGGAGGUCCUACAUGCAACCAAAGUCUGAGCUGUACAUGUAUUUGGAGGAAAAUUUUGACAGCUCCGGGGGAAGUUUUGAUAUUUUGAUAUGGUGGAAAACACAUGCUGAAAAAUAUCCCGUGCUCUCAACCAUGGCUCGUGAUUUCCUUGCAAUACCUCUUAGCACCGUGUGUCAUCUGAAUCAGCAUUCAGUUGCAGUGGAAGGACUUUAGGAGAUUCCCGAUGCUCGAUGACGCCCGAAACUCUUGAGGCUUUAGUUUGCAUAAAAGAUUGGCUUAUCAAAAUUCCAAAUAAUGAAGGCCCAAGUGGGACAGCCAAAUGGAGAAAAGGUCUUAUGUUAACAAAUUGGUAUCAAGAAGAAAGCCGGGGUAGAAGAAACCAUUCAGAAAGGGAGAUGGAUGUCCAGCAACUAUGUAAAAUGCAUUCUGUAACUGAGUAAUUGUGUAACAUCCAGCAUUCUGUGUAAUAAUUUUGGACCCCAUGUUGUAACAUCCAACGGCUACUUACUUAGUCAGCAAGCUAUCCUUUUCCUAGUAAAACUGGGUUGCCAUUCUUAUUCCUUGUCCAUGGAUUGAAACUAUGGGUUAAAUCCAUAAAUGGCA